rnacentral:rRNA from 1 species
CGGCGAACGGGUGAGUAACACGUGGGCAACCUACCCAGAAGACCGGGAUAACGGCUCGAAAGGGCCGCUAAUACCGGAUAAUGUCGGGGUACCGCAUGGUACUCCGAAGAAAGGGGAAACCCGCUUUUGGAUGGGCCCGCGUCCCAUCAGCUAGUUGGUGAGGUAACGGCUCACCAAGGCGACGACGGGUAGCCGGUCUGAGAGGAUGGUCGGCCACACUGGGACUGAGACACGGCCCAGACUCCUACGGGAGGCAGCAGUUGGGAAUCUUGGGCAAUGGGCGAAAGCCUGACCCAGCGACGCCGCGUGAGGGAAGAAGGCCUUCGGGUCGUAAACCUCUGUCAUGGGGGAAGAAGCAAGUGACGGUACCCCAAGAGGAAGCCCCUGCUAACUACGUGCCAGCAGCCGCGGUAAUACGUAGGGGGCGAGCGUUGUCCGGAUUUACUGGGCGUAAA